CAAGGUUCUUUUAUACUGGGCCAUGAAGAUCCACCCCUUUUAACUGAAUUUUCUGUUGUAGGUCCCAGAGAGUGGGCUACAGACGCCAUUUUGGGAUGGCCUGCUGAAGCAUGUCGCACAAGAAGUUGUCAAAAUUGCUAAGGAUGGCUUGGAAAGAAGAGGUUACAAGGAAACUGGAUUUUUAAAUGAGGUGACUGAAGUUGUUAAUACAGGUAUAACUCCAGCUGAAAAACUCCUUGCUCUAUACCAUGAGAAGUGGGGACAAAGUGUCGAUCCUGUAUUUGAUGAGUUUCUCUACUAGAGUUUGUCUUAUCAUGCUCUCACCGCGCCUCUUUCAAGGUGACAUGGAUAUGUUAUUGAUGUCAUAGAUUAGUUUUUCAUUCUGGAGCAACCUCACAUAUUGGCCAGUCUUUUUCAAGAUCAGACCAGGACAGUUUGACGUGCCUCCCCUCAAGGUACUUCUGAGCCUUGCGUGCUAAAUAAUCAGUUGGAAGUUGAAACUUUUCACUGUACCCCUGAGAACUCUGAAACGUACUUUUCCAAUAUGAACCCGAACAGAAAAAGGUUAGGAUUAGUUCUGAUGAAGAUAUCUUACUCUUAAGGGUCAUCUUCUCUGUCUCUCUUUUCUCAUCUGUUGUGCUUUUUCAUGAACAAUUUACUCGCACUAUGCUAUGCAAGACUUUCCUUUUCUUUUUC